GGGAUAACUCCGGGAAACCGGAGCUAAUACCGGAUAGUUCCUUGAACCGCAUGGUUCAAGGAUGAAAGACGGUUUCGGCUGUCACUUACAGAUGGACCCGCGGCGCAUUAGCUAGUUGGUGAGGUAACGGCUCACCAAGGCGACGAUGCGUAGCCGACCUGAGAGGGUGAUCGGCCACACUGGGACUGAGACACGGCCCAGACUCCUACGGGAGGCAGCAGUAGGGAAUCUUCCGCAAUGGACGAAAGUCUGACGGAGCAACGCCGCGUGAGUGAUGAAGGUUUUCGGAUCGUAAAGCUCUGUUGUUAGGGAAGAACAAGUGCAAGAGUAACUGCUUGCACCUUGACGGUACCUAACCAGAAAGCCACGGCUAACUACGUGCCAGCAGCCGCGGUAAUACGUAGGUGGCAAGCGUUGUCCGGAAUUAUUGGGCGUAAAGGGCUCGCAGGCGGUUUCUUAAGUCUGAUGUGAAAGCCCCCGGCUCAACCGGGGAGGGUCAUUGGAAACUGGGAAACUUGAGUGCAGAAGAGGAGAGUGGAAUUCCACGUGUAGCGGUGAAAUGCGUAGAGAUGUGGAGGAACACCAGUGGCGAAGGCGACUCUCUGGUCUGUAACUGACGCUGAGGAGCGAAAGCGUGGGGAGCGAACAGGAUUAGAUACCCUGGUAGUCCACGCCGUAAA
rnacentral:rRNA from 1 species